GACGAACGCUGGCGGCGUGCUUAACACAUGCAAGUCGAGCGGUAAGGCCCUUUCGGGGGUACACGAGCGGCGAACGGGUGAGUAACACGUGGGUGACCUGCCCUCAGCUCUGGGAUAAGCCUGGGAAACUGGGUCUAAUACUGGAUAUGACUCCACGGUGCAUGUCGUGGGGUGGAAAGCCUUGUGCGGCUGAGGAUGGGCCCGCGGCCUAUCAGCUUGUUGGUGGGGNGAUGGCCUACCAAGGCGACGACGGGUAGCCGGCCUGAGAGGGCGACCGGCCACACUGGGACUGAGACACGGCCCAGACUCCUACGGGAGGCAGCAGUGGGGAAUUUUUCGCAAUGGGGGCAACCCUGACGAAGCAACGCCGCGUGGGGAUGAAGGUCUUCGGAUUGUAAACCCCUGUCGACUGGGACGAAUGUAGAACGGCCAAAUACGCCGAGCUAUUGACUGUACCGGUGGAGGAAGCCACGGCUAACUCUGUGCCAGCAG
rnacentral:rRNA from 1 species